CGACGCACACCGGUAGGGUAACCCACCGGUAUGACGGAGCGGCGAACGGGUGAGUAACACGUGAGCAACCUGCCCCACAGAUCGGGAUAGCCCAGGGAAACCUGGAUUAAUACCGAAUACCCUCGAGUAACCACAUGAUUGUUCGAGGAAAUGCCUUUGUGCUGUGGGAUGGGCUCGCGGCUUACCAGCUAGUUGGUGGGGUAACGGCCUACCAAGGCAUCGACGAGUAGCUGGUCUGAGAGGACGAUCAGCCACACUGGGACUGAGACACGGCCCAGACUCCUACGGGAGGCAGCAGCAGGGAAUCUUGCGCAAUGGGCGAAAGCCUGACGCAGCAACGCCGCGUGGGGGAUGAAGGCCUUCGGGUUGUAAACCCCUUUCAGGAGGGAAGAAAUUGACGGUACCUCCAAAAGAAGCCCCGGCCAACUACGUGCCAGCAGCCGCGGUAAUACGUAGGGGGCGAGCGUUGUCCGGAAUCAUUGGGCGUAAAGAGCUCGUAGGCGGU
rnacentral:rRNA from 1 species